ACAGAAUCUUCAAAAAGUGAUCUCACAUCUUUGGUCAUAGACCUUAACAGAACUUAGAACUGUAAUAACCAAGUGCCCACAUUCUAGACACAGCCCCCUAUUCAGCUCACUUGGGUGGAGACACUGAAGAUAGUAAGAUGUUCCAAUGUUGUCUCCCUGGUUUCAGAAGAUCUGGGCUCAGGAAAGCUCAGUGAGAAUUUUCUUUGUCGCUGUAGACAUUGGCUCAGACAUCAGCCCCAUGCAUCUGGUCAUUUUGGAGAAGGCACCAAAAGAUUCCGGACCUCUGUGGGUUUCCUCAGUUGGCAAACACCAUGGCAUCAUGGAGACCCCCAGGAUAUCUUCCAAUGAACCAAGACUUCCAGAGAAUGACUCUGAGUAAGCGGCCACUCUCCCCCUUUUUCAAGAUGAAAGAAGCCUCUUCAUGGACUCCUCAUCCUGAAGCCACUCCACAAAUGCAAGUCCUUGCCCCUGAUAUCACGUGGGGAAGCCUGAAAUCCCUGUCUAACCAGGCCGACAUCCUGGUUAGAUGAUAUUGCAUAUACCCCCUCAUUCACAUCUGAUGGCCAUAUUUUCUGUCAUGAACAAAAAUGUGAUAUGUGUAACCUUGA